rnacentral:rRNA from 1 species
CGGAACACGUACGCAAUCUACCCAAAACUGAUGAAUAGCCCUCCGAAAGGAGGAUUAAUACAUCGUAACCUAAAAGAGUGGCAUCACUUUAAUAGUAUAGCUCCGGCGGUUUUGGAUGAGCGUGCGCCUGAUUAGGUAGUUGGCGGGGUAACGGCCCACCAAGCCUGCGAUCAGUAACUGGUGUGAGAGCACGACCAGUCACACGGGCACUGAGACACGGGCCCG